rnacentral:lncRNA from 1 species
GGGGGGGAGCGAUGGGUUUGAAGUGUCCCAUGUGCUGAGUUGAAUCUCACAUUUCUAGCUUUUUUGGCUAGCCAGGAAUUGGUUUUAAAAAAGAAGCCUCUCCCAUAAACAGAUGCAGCCUGGUAAACUUGCACUUGGCUGGCUGCAUGCUCGCAGCGGAGGCCUUGUAUUAUCCCUGUGCAUCCCAGUUGCCGAGAACACGGCUCUUCUUCCCUUGGCAAAGAUGAUUCUUUUGUUUUGCCUUUGUGGCUGUUUAUUCCCUUACCAGCAGCUCUUUCCAGCUCUCUCUUAACAUACACCUGUCCCCUAUUCUGCUGGAGAGGAUUUGGCAGAAUGCAACCCUUUUUUCUCACGUAGUUUGGAUCUGUAAUAAAGAUGUCUGUUUUGGCAGCUCGUGGAGCUUCUCUGACAAAUACUGUUACUAAUUAUUACUGUUUUUAUGGAGUUUAUUUAUAGUUUCCGUUCAGUGUUUUGAAACAGGGCUAGGCAGACUUCAGCCUGGUUGAAUCUCCUCUCUGUGUGUGUUGUGGUUUUUUUGCUAGAACCCCAAUAAUUGGUACUAGUAGCUGGAGUCAGGUGCAAGAGUCAAUUAGAAUUGAAGAAUAGACUGCCUCUGGUGUAUUAUGAGCUUAGGAAUUUGUUUUCAAUACCAGAAGUCAACUGAGCCUACAGUUCCUUCUCACGAAAGUCUGCUUUCUUUAUUUCAACAGCCUAAUUUGUUUUGUUUUCUUGAACAGUUGGUGCCAAAAUCACCUAGAGACCAACCUUCUCUCUCUCUCUCUCUCCCCCCACCCCCAUUUUAAAGCUAUUUACACAAAUUAUCUAGGACCCCAUAAAUGUUCUGGAGGAACUUGAGAGCUGAAUAAGGUAUUCCCAUAUUGUUGAUGAGGGAUGUAGGCUGAGAGAGUGCUUGCUUAAGACUCUCUGGUGAGUUUGUAGCUCUGGACAAUUUCCAGCUCAUUUUCUUGGCCAUUACGCAAGAGUCCGAACAUAAUCAUCUUGCCUUGGGAUUGGCAACCCCUUAACUGGAAAAGGAAAGAAACUCUGAACUAUUUAUAUCCCACCUUUCUUCCAAGGAGCCCGAGGUGGCGUACCUGGUACUCCGCCUCUCCACAUCAUCUUCACAACGGUCCUGUGAGGUAGGUUAGCUCGAGAAACUGACUGGCCUGAGAUCACCCAACAAGUUUCAUGACUUGAGUUGGGAUUCACCCACUGGUGAACACUUGGUGCUAAACCACACUGAGUCUCUUGAGUGUAAGUCAAGAGGAAUUGACUAUUGAUGGCCCGCAAACUGGCCCACAGUAUUUCUGGAGGAACUUGUGGUGAUGUUUCCUACCUGGCAGAUGACCCACUUGUGGGGGGAGGCUUCUGAGAUAUGACCCUGCACUUCCAGUCUUCUGUAGAGGGCAUGCCAUCCCUCCUUGCCCUUUCUUGGCCCCUUGGUUCCUGGGACAAACCUCUCAACUUCUGGUAGAAGUGUUUUGUUGGUUCUCGUUCUACUGUUGGGAACAAUCCUCCAUAUUGGAAAUCACUGACUAUCAUUGUCCUGUUCAUAAAGUAUAUCUGAGUAGUAAUGUGCUUGUUCCUGCAUAAAACCCCUACAGGAGUAGUAAUUAACGCUUCUAGUUUUUGUUGUUAUGAGAACAGUUACACAGAUCUGUGGGCAAGGGGAUACAAUGAGAAACAGCUAAAUCUGCUGGAAUUCGUUGUGAUGUUGAAGGGGCAGUUGAAGUUUGCAACACAGAGUUGAGUGGUUGUGAAAACACCUUGGCUAGGCAGACACUGGUGGUGUAAGUGAGUCUUUAAUGAUAUCUCUGGCAGAAUGACUGGUAGUCCAUUCAUGUGCCUCUCUUUAUUUUUAUUUUUGGAUGCACUUACCGCUUCGACUUGCAUCUGAAAGAGCAAUAGGUGUUUUAUGACAUCAUGGGUUUCCACAGAGACCGAAAGAGAGGGGUGAUUUCCUACACUGCCUAUCUCAGAAUAGCUUUGGGUUUUUCUCUUUUAUAAGGGAAUCUCUCUUACACAAUCCCACAUGCCUAGAUUGAUGUAGCCAGCCACACUUUGUGAACUCCUUGCCUCUUUCUGGAAGAGCUCACUGUAGGAUGAAUUAAGAAAAGAGGGACUGGAGCAAUAAGGCUGCUGUAAGACACGAGUGUGGAUAUGUUAUCCUUUGUGGAUAUUUUUACACUCACAUCUUUUGUUCUGGCAUACACCACGUCACAGACACCUGCAUCUUGUUGUUGCAGUUCUAUGCACCAUCCUGUACAUUUACAUGCUGGAGCAGCAAGCACUGGGGUUGUGCCACAUGGCUUCAAAGGAGCCGACAGAACGGUUAAUGCCUAUAAAGAAAGAGGCACUGAAGAGGUGGAGGCCAUAGUUGCUACAUUGUCAUGACCCCAGUACCAGCAAUGACCUGGACACAGAGUUAGAGGCUGCAGGGGCACCAGAAUAGGAGCUGGGUCUGGGCUUAGAUCUGACUGCAGAAGAUAGGAAGACCACUGCACUUGAGAGAGAACUCUCAGACUACCAGGCCUAUGGAACCAAAAGUCUGGACCUUCAUGGACACCUUCUUCUGAGUCUGAAGAACCAGAUGCCUCCCACCACACACCACCAGUCUUGGGAGUACUAGGACUUCACCAGGAGGAAGGAAGCAGGAGCACCCAACAUCUUUAGACCUGAAGGUUGGCCCUUUAAGGCUCUGAAGUUCUCUGAAGGGGGUUAAACCUAGAGGAGGUAUUCUGGAGCCAGGACCCCAAAAGGCCUCAGUGUGCUCCCAACUUUUGUUGGAGCACCUUGCUUGCUUGGAGCUGUCCAUGGUCUAGCCUUGCCUCUUGUCAUGCUGUUUUCCUCGUGGGUCCAGACAUUGGACCAGAACACAGCACACACUAUUUGAAUGCAGAAGGUCCCCAGGCCUAUCUUUGGCAUCUCCCUUCAGAAAAAAAGAGGGGGAAAGCCCAAAGGUCUCAGCAGGCCUGGAAAAGAUACCUGCCAGAGCCCUUGGAGAGUGGCUUCCAGUCAGAGUAGCCUGCUAUUAAGCUAGAUGGGGUGGUCAGAAUUUAAGGUAGACAAUGAUCUACUGGUAGGUUAUUGGCCAAUUUCUAGUAGACCUUCCUGGUGGUGUUGGUUGCGGGGAUCCUUCCAAGAAUAUUGGACCUUGGGUGGAUUCUGAUAGGCAUAUCUCUCUUCUGCUUUCUGGGUGUUUAUGAAAGUUGGCUGUUUCUGGGUCAAAGAUCUGAAACUCGCAGAAUGUGUUUCACUGUGAUUGCUUAUCUACCCAGAGCUCUGUCGCAGCUUUCAAGUCAAUGAAUGCAUCUCUGAUUCUUAGUAAUCAAGCAACAGGAUCACCAGUUUUGGCAGUAGCCUGGCAUUUGGGAGGAACAGCUACUACUAAUAGCUGGUUAAGGGGGAUCAGAUCACUUUCCUAUCUAAUCCAGAUAGCUUUAUCUGAGGGCAUUGACUCUGUUAAUUAUAACGAAACAUGCCCAACGGAAGUUGCUGCUAAGCAUCUUAAACUGUCAGAUGAGUACUUGGGCUUCUGUUGAAAUCCCAUUUUAGCCUACUGCUGCAAAUGCCAGCCCCUUCAAACCAGGCAGUGUUGGUGAAACAUACAGAGGCCCUUACCCUGUUAAGACACCAUGUUGAACUUAACUACUAAAGAAAUGUACUGUAUGGGGAGGCAUUUUGUUGUUGCCUGUGGGUAACAUGCCAAUCCAUCUUGCAAACGAUGCCCCCAUUUUAUUGGGUUGUCAUUUCCAUAAAGAGGUUCCACCAGAAGAAUUCCCAGUAAAAACUCCUUGCAGGAAAGAGGGUGAGGGGAAUCUUCUUAACACAGCAGUUCCAAGGGGUUAUAUGGAUAUGGUUAUAUGGAUGAUAUUGCUAAAGAGCAUCUCUACAAGGUGUCCACCUCUACAAAAUACUACCUACCAGUAGAUGCUUCUGCAUGUCUCUUCUAGAUGUAUCUCCCACUUCUAGAUGCUUGGAGCAGACGAAGGAGACCUGUUGGUAUUAUGAGCAUCCAAAAAUCAUCUUCGUGGCUACUGCAGCGCUGAGCUAGAGAAACCUUGCUUUGAUCCAGCAAGUCAAUUCAUUACAUAGAUUUAAUCCAUUUUGAUGGAGUCCUAAGUAAGGAAGGUGACACAUCCCUCCUGUGAAAAGCAAAGGUAGUCCCUGUUGGCUUGUGAGUGAAAUCUCAAAAUCCACACUUAUUGGGCCUAUCAGAAGGUUGCAGAAUUCGUGUGUAAGCUCAGGUUAUCCAAAGCUGUUCAUCAGCAAAGAUGAUAAACAAGACAAAAGGGGUGAGAGGAGGGAGAAAAGAUGGGAAGCAUUCUUUUGGAAUAUCAUUUCUGUUGUAAUGAGAUGGCAGAAACAUAUGUGAAUUGACUGCACCAGGUGCCAUUGUGCCAUCUUAGUUUUGCUCCAGGUCUUUUAAAAAUCUGUCAGAGGACUUAAUUUCCUUAUUGUUUUCAUGGGCACAGAACUUUUAAAGUUCCAGUUGCGCUAGAAAGUCAUGCUGUCUCCUUCUCUGUAAAGUUCUGUGCCCUUAUGCCAAAUGGCAGGCUGAGAUCCCUUGAAAAUCCCAGAGAGAAGCCUGAACAGUUCAUUAUUACAGACAUCUUUUCUCUCUCUCUUUUGGAGCAAUGUAUGUUGUUGUUUAUACCGAAGCAAGCUGAAAAGCAAGGCUGCUCGCUUGUUUGUGGUUUUGGCUUUUGCAUACUAGCUCCAAGCGGAAUUGCAAUAUCCUGUCCUGUUUGUGGGAUCAAAGAGCAUGGCUCUUAUUCCAGAUUAAAUUGCGUCAGAAUAAACGCUGCUCUUCGGUUGUAUUUUCGCCAGCCCUCGACACAACCAGAAUUGCUGUUUUAUUUUCAAGGGCUUAAACUGGAUAGGUUAACCCAAACACACUAACUUUGUAUCCCUGCAGAUUGAGUAAAUUUACUUUUUAAUGGGGUUUUUUACCACUUUGGCUUUACCCGAAAUUUAACCUAUACUGCCCACUCUCCUAGUCAUUAAUUUUGGCAUUGCAUUAGAAUUGCUUCUCAGCCCUUUAAAUACUAAAAUCCAUUCUUUUUGUGUGGUUGGGCAAACCUGUCCAUCUGUCUUCAGGGGUUACUAAUCCACAUUAAGGAUACAUACUUGAGAUGGCUUAAUGGAGAUUAUUUUCCCUUUUAGUUACGCCUUUGUACUUGCAACUCUGUUCUUAGAAAUGAAGAGAGGGAGCAGCAGAGAAAUGUAGCGCUACAGAAAAUGUCGUACAAAGGUCUUCUUAUCCUCCUUCACCAUCCACAAUAACAUUAGCUAUGACCUCGAGGAGCUUUACUCGCUUUUAUAAAAAGAGAGAAAUGUUCUAUGAGGCGUUCCUUCUGUGCCAUUUUAAUCCUCGGCUAAUUAAUCGGCAUAAUCGUGCCCGAGGGAUGCAGGGUAGUAUGCCAUCUCCGAAUUAACGCUCCUAAAUAUCUGGUUGUGUGAGAAGUCAUAACAGGGAAUGGGGAGGAGCACGGGAACUCUUAAAAACUGAUUUGAAUAGUGACAAGGGACCCAAAAACAGAGAUCCUUAUCAUUGUUGCCAACGGCGCAGGGGAUGUAGGGCGGGCGAAGCCAACUAAACAGUGGUAGGUGCCAGACAGACAUCGAAUCCUCCUUUCUCUUAGCCUCGCGGGGGAAUUCAGAAGGGGAAAUAAAUGGAACUUGUGUAUGCCAAAGCUGUGAGAUUAUUUCACUUUGGGCGGGUGUGUCUAUUCCAGCUGAGGUUUUGCAGCCAGCCUGCAUCUGACCGAUGCGAAAUCUUGAAGCUAAAAUCCCUAGCUGGAAAACAUUGGUCACCUGAGAGCACAGAAGGCAAAUGGUUCUGUUGGAUUUUGCAAUAAUAGAUCAUUUGCCCUGCCAACUGUUUCUGGAUGGUUUUUGGAAGGGGUUUUCGCAGCUGCACUUUGAAGAUCCUUGGGUCCCUGAAAGACAGCAACCUGAUGCUAUCGAGUUUUUGAUAAAUUUGAUAUCUUGUGAAUAAUAUGCACACAGAGUUUGCCAAUGCAAGUUUCCACAUGUAAAUGCAGAGUCGAACAAGGUGUGAAAAUAUUCCACCACAAAUUCCUCUCAGUUCUUCUCUUUUUUUUGGGGGGGGGAGUACUGGGUUUUCUUGGGGUGGGGAGCAGGAAUUGUGUGUCAGGUACAGUUUGGGAAGCCUGGGCACAUGUCAAGUCACUCUGCCCCAAUUUUCUGUCUGUAAAAUGGGGAUGUCAUGCUGUCACAGUGCAGUUGCAAGACUGGAAAACAUUUUGGCAAUUAGAGCUGCUAUUUGAGUGGUAAUUAACACCACCAUCUAGCUAGUCACACCAAAGGGCAUUAGCAUAUUCAUAGUCCUCAUUAGGUGACGGGCUCAGAAUAAAUAGGCUUUCUAGAUAUCUUUUUUCACGAAGCAAAGG